rnacentral:rRNA from 1 species
GAUGAACGCUGGCGGCGUGCCUAAUACAUGCAAGUAGAACGCUGAAGGAGGAGCUUGCUCUUCUGGAUGAGUUGCGAACGGGUGAGUAACGCGUAGGUAACCUGCCUGGUAGCGGGGGAUAACUAUUGGAAACGAUAGCUAAUACCGCAUGACAACAGUUAUUGCAUGAUAACUGUUUAAAAGGGGCAACUGCUCCACUACCAGAUGGACCUGCGUUGUAUUAGCUAGUUGGUGAGGUAACGGCUCACCAAGGCGACGAUACAUAGCCGACCUGAGAGGGUGAUCGGCCACACUGGGACUGAGACACGGCCCAGACUCCUACGGGAGGCAGCAGUAGGGAAUCUUCGGCAAUGGACGGAAGUCUGACCGAGCAACGCCGCGUGAGUGAAGAAGGGUUUCGGAUCGUAAAGAUCUGUUGUAAGAGAAGAACGAGUGUGAGAGUGGAAAGUUCACACUGUGACGGUAUCUUACCAGAAAGGGACGGCUAACUACGUG